UACAGAGGUCUCAAGCGUUGUUCGGAUUCAUUGGGCGUAAAGGGUGUGUAGGUGGCGCCGUAAGUCGGGUGUGAAAUUUCGGAGCUUAACUCCGAAACUGCAUUCGAUACUGCGGUGCUUGAGGACUGGAGAGGAGACUGGAAUUUACGGUGUAGCGGUGAAAUGCGUAGAUAUCGUAAGGAAGACCAGUGGCGAAGGCGGGUCUCUGGACAGUUCCUGACGCUGAGGCACGAAGGCCAGGGGAGCAAACAGG
rnacentral:rRNA from 1 species